CACGUAGGGCAAGCGUUGUCCGGAUUUUAUUGGCGUAAAGAGCUCGUAGGUGGUUCGGUAAGUCGGAUGUGAAACUCAGCUCCAACCUGAGACGCCACCCGAAUACUGCUGUGACUGGAGUCGGUAGGGGGGAGCGUAGCAAUUUUUCUGAUGUAGCGGUAAGUGAAAAAAAUGCGACAGAUAUCAGGGGGGAGGGGGGAAAAAACAACCCCCCACGCGAAAAA
rnacentral:rRNA from 1 species